rnacentral:rRNA from 1 species
UUGGGUAGGGGAGCGUUGUAUACGCAGUGAAACAGUAGCGCAAGUGGCUGUGGAGUGUAUAGAAGUGAGAAUGCCGGAAUGAGUAGCGCGAAUGCAGUGAGAAUCUGCAUGGCCGAAAGCCUCAGGUUUCUGGAGGAAGGUUCGUCCGCUCCAGGUUAGUCGGGAGCUAAGGUGAGGCCUAACGGCGUAGCCGAUGCACAGACGGUAGAGAUUCCGUCACCACCAAAAGAGUUAAACACAGGGACACAUUUGAAGUCUCGGAGCCGGGUGUUGGUUCCGGUAGUGAUCGAGGGAAAUUAGUACCGAAGUCCGGGAUGGAAGAUGGCGAGAAAAGCUGUGUGUAUUUCUGCGGUGCCCGUACCGCAAACCGACACAGGUAGGUAGGAAGAAGAUUCUAAGGCCAACGGGAGAAGGGUUGUUAAGGAACUCGGCAAAUUGACCCCGUAACUUCGGGAGAAGGGGUGCUCCAGAGAUGGAGCCGCAGAGAAUCGGCCCAAGCAACUGUUUACCAAAAACACAGGUUUGUGCUAAAUCGAAAGAUGACGUAUACGAGCUGACGCCUGCCCGGUGCUGGAAGGUUAAGAGGAGAUGUGCAAGCAUUGAACCGAAGCCCCAGUGAACGGCGGCCGUAACAAUAACGGUCCUAAGGUAGCGAAAUUCCUUGUCAGGUAAGUUCUGACCCGCAUGAAAGGCGUAAUGAUUUGGGCACUGUCUCGACAGCCCGCCCGGCGAAAUUGUAGUACCGGUGAAGAUGCCGGUUACCCGCGACAAGACGGAAAGACCCCAUGGAGCUUUACUGUAGCCUAAUAUUGGGUUUCGAUGUUGCAUGCACAGGAUAGAUGGGACACUAGGAAGCAAGUGCUUUGGCAUUUGUGGAGUGGCCGUUGGGAUACCAUCCUUGCGAUAUUGGAAUUCUAACCUGCGCCUUUGAAUCAAGGCGGGGGACAUUGUUAGGUGGGCAGUUUGACUGGGGCGGUCGCCUCCUAAAGAGUAACGGAGGCGUUCAAAGGUUCGCUCAGCUUGAACGGAAAUCAAGCAAAAGAGUGCAAACGCAGAAGCGAGCCUAACUGCGAGACUGACGGGUCGAGCAGUAACGAAAGUUGGAGUUAGUGAUCCGGUGGUAUGUGAGUGGAAAUGCCAUCGCUCAACGGAUAAAAGUUACCCUGGGGAUAACAGGCUGAUCUCCCCCAAGAGUCCACAUCGACGGGGAGGUUUGGCACCUCGAUGUCGGCUCAUCGCAUCCUGGGGCUGUAUUCGGUCCCAAGGGUUUGGCUGUUCGCCAAUUAAAGCGGUACGCGAGCUGGGUUCAGAACGUCGUGAGACAGUUCGGUCCCUAUCUGUCGUGGGCGCAGGAUAUUUGAUGGGAGCUGUUCCUAGUACGAGAGGACCGGAGCGGACGUACCUCUGGCGCACCAGUUGUUCUGCCAAGGGCAUAGCUGGGCAACUAUGCACGGAUCGGAUAAACGCUGAAAGCAUCUAAGCGUGAAGCCGACCCAAAGAUAAGAUAUCCCAUUGUUUCAAACAAGUAAGACCCCUUGAAGACUACAAGGUUGAUAGGCAUGAUGUGUAAGUGGAGUGAUCCAUUCAGCAAGCAUGUACUAAUAGGUCGAGGGCUUGAUC